rnacentral:misc_RNA from 1 species
UACAUAGGCUCCUAGCGUUGUUCGGAAUUACUGGGCGUAAGGCGCACGUAGGCGGAUUGGAAAGUAUGGGGUGAAAUCCCAGGGCUCAACCCUGGAAUGGCCUCAUAAACUUCCAGUCUGGAGUUCGAGAGAGGUGAGUGGAAUUCCGAGUGUAGAGGUGAAAUUCGUAGAUAUUCGGAGGAACACCAGUGGCGAAGGCGGCUCACUGGCUCGAUACUGACGCUGAGGUGCGAAAGUGUGGGGAGCAAACAGG